GAACGCUGGCGGCAUGCCUUACACAUGCAAGUCGAACGGCAGCACGGGAGCUUGCUCCUGGUGGCGAGUGGCGAACGGGUGAGUAAUACAUCGGAACGUACCCUGAAGUGGGGGAUAACGUAGCGAAAGUUACGCUAAUACCGCAUAUUCUGUGAGCAGGAAAGAGGGGGAUCGCAAGACCUCUUGCUUUAGGAGCGGCCGAUGUCGGAUUAGCUAGUUGGUGAGGUAAAGGCUCACCAAGGCGACGAUCCGUAGCGGGUCUGAGAGGAUGAUCCGCCACACUGGGACUGAGACACGGCCCAGACUCCUACGGGAGGCAGCAGUGGGGAAUUUUGGACAAUGGGCGCAAGCCUGAUCCAGCCAUGCCGCGUGAGUGAAGAAGGCCUUCGGGUUGUAAAGCUCUUUCGGUGGGGAAGAAAUUGCACAGGAUAAUACCUUGUGUAGAUGACGGUACCCGCAUAAGAAGCACCGGCUAACUACGUG
rnacentral:rRNA from 1 species